rnacentral:rRNA from 1 species
UACGUAGGGUGCGAGCGUUGUCCGGAAUUAUUGGGCGUAAAGAGCUCGUAGGCGGUGUGUCACGUCGUUCGUGAAAACCUGCAGCUUAACUGUGGGCGUGCGGUCGAUACGGGCAUCACUGGAGUUCGGCAGGGGAGACUGGAAUUCCUGGUGUAGCGGUGAAAUGCGCAGAUAUCAGGAGGAACACCGGUGGCGAAGGCGGGUCUCUGGGGCCGAUACUGACGCUGAGGAGCGAAAGCGUGGGGAGCGAACAGG